CAGUAGCCGCGGUAAUACGUAGGGUGCAAGCGUUAAUCGGAAUUACUGGGCGUAAAGCGUGCGCAGGCGGUUAUACAAGUCAGAUGUGAAAUCCCCGGGCUCAACCUGGGAACUGCAUUUGAGACUGUAUGGCUAGAGUGUGUCAGAGGGGGGUAGAAUUCCACGUGUAGCAGUGAAAUGCGUAGAUAUGUGGAGGAAUACCGAUGGCGAAGGCAGCCCCCUGGGAUAACACUGACGCUCAUGCACGAAAGCGUGGGGAGCAAACAGGAUUAGAUACCCCUGUAGUCCCUGUCUCUUAUAC
rnacentral:rRNA from 1 species